CCUACGGGAGGCAGCAGUGGGGAAUAUUGCUCAAUGGAGGAAACCCUGAAGCAGCAACGCCGCGUGGAGGAUGAAGGUUUUCGGAUUGUAAACUCCUUUUGUUAGAGAAGAUAAUGACGGUAUCUAACGAAUAAGCACCGGCUAACUCCGUGCCAGCAGCCGCGGUAAUACGGAGGGUGCAAGCGUUACUCGGAAUCACUGGGCGUAAAGAGCGCGUAGGCGGGAUAGCAAGUCAGAUGUGAAAUCCUAGGGCUUAACCAUAGAACUGCAUGUGAAACUGUUAGUCUAGAGUAUGGGAGGGGUAGGUGGAAUGCUUGGUGUAGGGGUAAAAUCCGUAGAGAUCAAGAGGAAUACUCAUUGCGAAGGCGACCUGCUAGAACAUAACUGACGCUGAUGCGCGAAAGCGUGGGGAGCAAACAGGAUUAGAUACCCGUGUAGUC
rnacentral:rRNA from 1 species